rnacentral:rRNA from 1 species
GGGUUCAUCCGUUGGUCGGGCUUUUUGGUCUGUACUGGCGUGAUGGAUUCCUACCUUCUGAAUAACCAGCAUGUCAUUAAUUUGGUGCGCUGGGGAAUUUGGACUGUUACUUUGGAAAAAUUAGAGUGUUUAAAGCAAGCUAACGCUUGAAUACAUUAGCAUGGAAUAAUGAAACAGGACGUUCGAUCCUAUUUUGUUGGUUUCUAGGAUUGACGUA